rnacentral:rRNA from 1 species
GCCCAAGAGACUGGGAUAACACCUGGAAACAGAUGCUAAUACCGGAUAACAACACUAGACGCAUGUCUAGAGUUUAAAAGAUGGUUCUGCUAUCACUCUUGGAUGGACCUGCGGUGCAUUAGCUAGUUGGUAAGGUAACGGCUUACCAAGGCAAUGAUGCAUAGCCGAGUUGAGAGACUGAUCGGCCACAUUGGGACUGAGGCACGGCCCAAACUCCUACGGAAGGCAGCAG